UACGUAGGGGGCAAGCGUUGUCCGGAAUCAUUGGGCGUAAAGAGCGUGUAGGCGGCCCCGGUAAGUCCGCUGUGAAAGUCCAGGGCUCAACCCUGGGAUGCCGGUGGAUACUGUCGGGCUCGAGUCCGGAAGAGGAGUGUGGAAUUCCUGGUGUAGCGGUGAAAUGCGCAGAUAUCAGGAGGAACACCGGUGGCGAAGGCGGGUCUCUGGGGCCGAUACUGACGCUGAGGAGCGAAAAGCGUGGGGGAGC
rnacentral:rRNA from 1 species